GAACAGCAAAGUUGGUGUGAGUGAGAGCGUCUCUGAACUUCUCAGUUUGCAAUCCUGACUCCACUUCAAAUCUCAAAGAGAAAUGGGUGCCUGUGUUUAAGGACAAGAUCCUGCACUUUGCCAACAGAGAGACGUUGCUCUUCAUCUGCUUUUCAAAGUGGAAACUAUGACAGCAGGAACAUUUUCAGACCCAGCUUCAUUGGAACCAGGAAAGCCUUCAUUGGCAUCCUAUCCUGAGGUCACCAGAACCGGCUGGAUCCAGCACCAUUCAUGCUUCUUGUUGGACUCCACUGCUACGUGUCACUGAAUGAUGAUGACUAAAUGCAGCGGGUGCCAGCCAAACAUCACUUUUGUCUAUUAUGAUGGACUGCAGGGGAUGAACUGAUGCCAACUCCAACCAUAAGACAUGGUAUACUUCAUAUGCCAUUGUCUGAACCUUGGAUUUAGGAUGGACAACACCGAACCUCACCGAAAUUACAGGCCAGGUUGAACUGCGUUUCACAUCCCUGAUCUGCAUCACCUCGGUCUAUUGAUGGACUACGAUCUUGAAAUGGAAUGCAUAGACUAACAAUUGCCAACAAAAGCCUUCAUCAGCCAAUUAACAAGGACAAUUGCACCUAUGUGAACUUCUGCAGUUAAUGCAGGACAGACUUCAAAAGACAUUGGUCAUUAAUCUUAAAGUUCAAACAAAAUCGAUGUUUAAACACUGACCCUGAACACUUACUUAGUUUAAUAAUUUUAAACCAUGACUUUAACUAUACAUAAGUAAUAUUUACAUUAUAUUCAUGAUGUUAACCAGAGGGGAACUGGCCCCCACAGUGAGUCUGGUUUCUCCCAUCUUUUGGCAUUUUGUGUUCCUUGCCACAGUCGCUUUCAGCUUGCUCACUGGGGUAACAAUAGUUUUUUAUCUAAUUACACAAUGAUGAUUCAUCGACA